rnacentral:rRNA from 1 species
UACAGAGGGCGCGAGCGUUGUCCGGAAUCACUGGGCGUAAAGGGCGCGUAGGUGGCCACUAUAAGGCCGCGGUGAAAGUUCGGGGCUCAACCCUGAAUCUGCCGCGGCGACUGUAGGGCUUGGGCACCGUAGAGGCAGAUGGGAAUUCCGGGGUGUAGCGGUGGAAUGCGUAGAGAUCCGGAAGAACACCGGUGGCGAAGGCGGUCUGCUGGGCGGUGGACCCGUG